GGGAAUGCUGUGGCUCACAGGAACAGACUCUGCUUUGCAUGCAGAAGGUCCAAGGUUCAAUCCCUGGUAUCUCCA
rnacentral:tRNA from 1 species